UUGGAGGGCAAGUCUGGUGCCAGCAGCCGCGGUAAUUCCAGCUCCAAUAGCGUAUAUUAAAGUUGUUGCAGUUAAAAAGCUCGUAGUUGAAUUUCGAGACCGGUUUACUGGUCGUGCUUUUGUACGUACUGGUAUUAUUGGUUUCUCCUUUCUGACGAAUCUUAAUGCCAUUAAUUUGGUGUUUUGGGGAAUCAGGACUGUUACUUUGAAAAAAUUAGAGUGUUUAAAGCAGGCUCACGCUUGAAUACAUUAGCAUGGAAUAACGAAAUAGGACGUUUGAUUUUAUUUUGUUGGUUUCCAGGAUCGACGUAAUGAUUAAUAGGGAUAGUUGGGGGCAUUAGUAUUCAAUUGUCAGAGGUGAAAUUCUUGGAUUUAUUGAAGACUAACUACUGCGAAAGCAUUUGCCAAGGAUGUUUUCAUUAAUCAAGAACGAAAGUUAGGGGAUCGAAGACGAUCAGAUACCGUCGUAGUCUUAACCAUAAACUAUGCCGACUAGGGAUCGGAUGAUGUUAAUUUUUUAAUGACUCAUUCGGCGCCUUACGGGAAAC
rnacentral:rRNA from 1 species